UAUUUCUAAUAUUAUUAGAUACUGUUUCAGUUUAUAAUCUCACAUGGUUUAGUGUUUAACUUACAGGGAUAGAUAAAAAGGAAAAAAAUGAUGAAUAUUAUGAAAACACCGGCUUCCAGGACAUUCAAAAGGGGGAUGAGUACGAAGAAGUGGAAAAUAAAUUUGAUGUUGAACAUACACCAUCUUGUCAAACUUACGAAACACUUGUACAAAAGACAAAAUUAGUGUUUAUGAUGAUUUAGAGAAUGCCAAAGGUGUAACAUCAUCGAAAUCAU